UCCUACGGGAGGCAGCAGUGGGGAAUUUUGGACAAUGGGCGCAAGCCUGAUCCAGCCAUGCCGCGUGAGCGAUGAAGCCCUUCGGGGUGUAAAGCUCUUUCGGCAGGGAAGAUAGUGACGGUACCUGCAGAAGCAGCUGCGGCUAACUACGUGCCAGCAGCCGCGGUAAUACGUAGGCAGCAAGCGUUGUUCGGAGUUACUGGGCGUAAAGGGUGUGUAGGCGGUUCCUUAAGUUUGCUGUGAAAUCUCCCGGCUUAACCGGGAGGGUGCGGUGAAUACUGAGGGACUAGAGUACGGGAGAGGAAAGUGGAAUUCCUGGUGUAGCGGUGAAAUGCGUAGAUAUCAGGAGGAACACCGGUGGUGUAGACGGCUUUCUGGACCGACACUGACGCUGAGACACGAAAGCGUGGGUAGCAAACAGGAUUAGAUACCCUGGUAGUCCACGCCCUAAACGAUGCAUAUUUGGUGUGGGCAGUUCAUUCUGUCUGUGCCGGAGCUAACGCGUUAAAUAUGCCGCCUGGGGAGUACAGUCGCAAGGCUGAAACUCAAAGGAAUUGACGGGGGCCCGCACAAGCGGUGGAGCAUGUGGUUCAAUUCGACGCAACGCGAAGAACCUUACCCAGACUUGACAUGUACUGGACUGGUGUGGAAACACAUCUUCCCUUCGGGGCCAGUGCACAGGUGCUGCAUGGCUGUCGUCAGCUCGUGUCGUGAGAUGUUGGGUUAAGUCCCGCAACGAGCGCAACCCUUGUCCUUAGUUGCUAACGAGUCAAGUCGAGCUCUCUAAGGAGACUGCCGGUUUCAAACCGGAGGAAGGUGGGGAUGACGUCAAGUCCUCAUGGCCCUUACGUCUGGGGCUACACACGUGCUACAAUGGCCGGUACAAAGGGCUGCGAUACCGCGAGGUGGAGCCAAUCCCAAAAAACCGGUCUCAGUUCGGAUUGCAGUCUGCAACUCGACUGCAUGAAGUCGGAAUCGCUAGUAAUCGCUGAUCAGCAGGCAGCGGUGAAUACGUUCCCGGGCCUUGUACACA
rnacentral:rRNA from 1 species